rnacentral:miRNA from 1 species
GAAUAGCGCAUGAAACCCUCAGAGUUUACCAACCAUUUAAAAUAAAUUAUUAUUAUUAUUAUUAUUAACCGUUGGUAAUCUCUGAGGGCUUCAUGUACUAUU